rnacentral:rRNA from 1 species
GAAAUGCGAUAAGUAAUGUGAAUUGCAGAAUUCAGUGAAUCAUCGAAUCUUUGAACGCACCUUGCGCACCUUGGUAUUCCAAGGAGCAUGCCUGUUUGAGUGUCAUUAAAACAUCUCAAGACAAUCAUGUGUUGUCUUGGAUAUUUGGGGGUUUGCAGGCUUUGGAAAGAGCCAGCUCUCCUUGAAUGCAUUAGUAGAGAGGACAACUGAGAACUCCAUUGGUGUGAUAAGAUUCAUCUAUGCCAGGAGCAAGCUGUAUUGGCCCUCUGCUGUCAAACUGUCCAAUCUGUUGGGGACAACUUUGAACAACUUGACCUCAAAUCAGGUAGGACUACCCGCUGAACUUAA